AAAAAAAAGCGGGCCGGAUACUCUUUGUUGCCCUAGGUUACUGUACGGCGGUCUCCGCAUUCCUGUAUGUUGCCUCCCAUUCCUAGAACUGAGGCUUAAAAGUUCCCCUGAAGACGAUGUGGUACUGACGCAGCCUAGGAUCUGGUGAAACAUAUGUCGGUGUAUCUAUAAGCUUUUGGAUAAUAUGCAACAGCGAAUUACAACAAAGAACUUAUCUAUAGAACCAUGUAAUGCAACUUCGCCUGUUCUUCAAGACACAAGAGGAUAAUUCGGCACAGGAAAGGGGCUCGGAGAUUAGUCCUUUUGCUAUGUUUUUUUUUUUGAACUGGACAACUGGUAUGUUGCUAUGUGUAUACGGUCUAAAGGUAGGCGUAGAAAUCUCCGCUAUUGAUGAUAUCUUCCGUAACUCUCAACAUAAUUAACAUUACAAAAUUAAUGACUUUUAAUAUCUAACUUUUAUUAAGUAAUAAGAUUUUUUUUUUCGCAACUGUAUUGCCUAUGAUUCUUUUUUUAACCGGGUCAUCCACAUUUUCCAUUCAAACUGAACGGAAACAACAGUGUCUGGUACAUGAGAAAGACAGAGCAGGGAGGAUGACGAGUCUGGACCCUACUGGUUAUGAAUAAAUAAUUUUUGCACAAGUUCUACAAAGCUAAAGAAAAUGAUAAAAUUAUAGAGGUGAAAGCAUUAAGUUGAGGAUAGGAUAUUUCAAUUGAUAUUAUCGAUGGAAUUUGAGAAUAAAAAAUAACUGGAUGAUACUUGGUUGCAUCGGCUCUUGAAUCAGCUAUAAAACUGUUGAUCGGUGUUCACUGCUCCCAGUGGUAGAAGAGCUCUACACGUAAGUCAAGUUUCUAGCCUAUGACUUUUUUAGACCGAAUAAAACUACUA
rnacentral:lncRNA from 1 species